UACGUAGGGGGCAAGCGUUGUCCGGAUUUAUUGGGCGUAAAGAGCGUGUAGGCGGCCAGGGAGGUCCGUUGUGAAAACUCGAGGCUCAACCUCGAGACGCCGAUGGAAACCCCCUGGCUAGAGUGUGGCAGAGGGGGGUGGAAGUUCCACGUGUAGCAGUGAAAUGCGUAGAGAUGUGGAGGAACACCGAUGGCGAAGGCAGCCCCCUGGGUUAACACCUGGACGCUCAGGCACGAAAGCGUGGGGAGCAAACAAGG
rnacentral:rRNA from 1 species